rnacentral:rRNA from 1 species
UCCAGACUCCUACGGGAGGCAGCAGUGAGGAAUAUUGGUCAAUGGACGAAAGUCUGAACCAGCCAUGCCGCGUGCAGGAAGACGGCUCUAUGAGUUGUAAACUGCUUUUGUACAAGGGUAAACCUGAAUACGUGUAUUCAGCUGAAAGUACUGUACGAAUAAGGAUCGGCUAACUCCGUGUCAGCAGCCGCGGUAAUACGGAGGAUCCAAGCGUUAUCCGGAUUUAUUGGGUUUAAAGGGUGCGUAGGCGGAUUGAUAAGUUAGAGGUGAAAUGUCCGGGCUCAACUCGGGAACUGCCUCUAAUACUGUUGAUCUAGAGAGUGGAUGCGGUAGGCGGAAUGUAUGGUGUAGCGGUGAAAUGCUUAGAUAUCACGAAGAACCCCGAUUGCGAAGGCAGCUUACUAAACUGUGACUGACAUUGAGGCUCGAAAGUGUGGGUAUCAAACAGGAUUAGAUACCCUGGUAGU